rnacentral:rRNA from 1 species
CAGCAGCCGCGGUAAUACGAAGGGUGCAAGCGUUACUCGGAAUUACUGGGCGUAAAGCGUGCGUAGGUGGUGGUUUAAGUCCGUUGUGAAAGCCCUGGGCUCAACCCCGGAACUGCCUUUGAAACUAGGCGACUAGAAUCUUGGAGAGGUCAGUGGAAUUCCGAGUGUAGAGGUGAAAUUCGUAGAUAUCAGGAGGAACACCUGUGGCGAAAGCGGCUCACUGGACCAUAACUGACGCUGAGGCACGAAAGCGUGGGGAGCAAACAGGAUUAGAUACCCCGGUAGUCCCUGUCUCUUAUAC